rnacentral:misc_RNA from 1 species
AGAGUUGCGAAGAUGAGAAUGUUAAGGUGAAUGAAUGGCCAAACUAGACUAGAUAAAGUCCGUAAUGAUUAUGGGAGAAUUAGAGAAAAUGUAGGAGUUGUGCCAAUUGAGGAUAAGUUGAGAGAAGAGAGAUUGAGGUGGUUUGGUCAUGUGAAGCAUAGACACACGGAGGCUCCAGUUAGACAAGUAGAGCACAUUAGGUUAGAGGAUAGAAAGAAAAGAAGGAAUAAACCUAAAUUGACUUGGAGAAGAGUAAUACAACAUGACCUAGAAGCAUUACACAUU